rnacentral:rRNA from 1 species
ACUCCUACGGGAGGCAGCAGUGGGGAAUAUUGGACAAUGGGGGCAACCCUGAUCCAGCAAUGCCGCGUGUGUGAAGAAGGCCUGAGGGUUGUAAAGCACUUUCAGUAGUGAGGAAAGGUUCUUGUUUAAGAGAUGAGGGCUGUGACGUUAGCUACAGAAGCAGCACCGGCUAACUCCGUGCCAGCAGCCGCGGUAAUACGGAGGGUGCAAGCGUUAAUCGGAAUUACUGGGCGUAAAGGGCGCGUAGGUUGUUUGAUAAGUUGGCUGUGAAAGCCCCGGGCUUAACCUGGGAAUGCCAGUCAAAACUGUCAGACUAGAGUACAGUAGAGGGUGGUGGAAUUUCCAGGUGUAGCGGUGAAAUGCGUAGAGAUCAGGAAGGAACACCAGUGGCGAAGGCGGCCACCUGGACUGAUACUGACACUGAGGCGCGAAAGCGUGGGUAGCGAACAGGAUUAGAUACCCUGGGUAGGCUCUG